UGGGGAAUCUUAGACAAUGGGCUCAAGCCUGAUCUAGCCAUGCCGCGUGAGCGAUGAAGGCCUUAGGGUUGUAAAGCUCUUUCAGCGAGGAAGAUAAUGACUGUACUCGCAGAAGAAGCCCCGGCUAACUCCGUGCCAGCAGCCGCGGUAAUACGGAGGGGGCUAGCGUUGUUCGGAAUUACUGGGCGUAAAGGGUGCGCAGGCGGAUGUUUAAGUUAGAAGUGAAAUCCCCGGGCUUAACCUGGGAAUUGCUUUUAAGACUGGGCAUCUAGAGUUUGUCAGAGGGGGGUGGAAUUCCAAGUGUAGCAGUGAAAUGCGUAGAGAUUUGGAGGAACACCAAUGGCGAAGGCAGCCCCCUGGGAUAAAACUGACGCUCAUGCACGAAAGCGUGGGUAGCAAA
rnacentral:rRNA from 1 species